rnacentral:rRNA from 1 species
UACGAAGGGGGCUAGCGUUGUUCGGAAUUACUGGGCGUAAAGAGCGCGCAGGCGGUCGUUCAAGUCGCGUGUGAAAGCCCCCGGCUCAACUGGGGAGGGUCACGCGAUACUGAUCGACUCGAAGGCAGGAGAGGGUAGUGGAAUUCCCGGUGUAGUGGUGAAAUGCGUAGAUAAUCUGGAGGAACACCGGUGGCGAAGGCGGCGUUCUGGACUGCAACUGACACUGAGAGACGAAAGCCAGGGGAGCAAACGGG